AUAUACUAAAAACUAAAUUAUAAUGCAUAAUUUCAACUUAUCUCCCUGAAAAAGACAUAAGUCCUAAGGUGAGAGUAAAAGCCUGUCCAGAGGAGCUCAGCUCAAAGGCCUCCCUGCUUUGCAUUGUGUCCUUUACCAGAUGAGCCCAGGAGACCUCUGACUGUCCUCCUGAUGACACAUUUGCCACUAAUGGCCAUUGGACUCUAGGCAUACCCAACCCACAGGGUGAAGGCUAUCAUAUUCCAGAGGAGGGAAGUCAGGGAGCAGAGAUACCUGCUCUAGGCACACGGUCAGACAGUCAGCACACAGAACACUGUGCUCUGAACUUAGGACUGAUCCCAGAGAUGAAUGCUGUCUUCGCUUGAAAUGACAUGGGAAUGGUUUCAGCUUACUUUGCUCUAAGUUCCUGUGAUAAUUAACAGUCCCCAGUUCUUCCCACUUUCUGGUUGACAAGUAGACUGCCCUGGGCCCAGGACAGAACCUCUGUCUGCCUGUCACCUCCUCUGUACAUCCCUCCACGUGGCACCACCCUCCUUCUGCCAGGGACUUCACAAACCAAACCAAACCAAACUAACCAACCAACCAACAGACUAAGCAAACAAACAAACAAAAACCCUCACCUGAUCCUCUUGAAACAUGGGGGGCAUACAAGCAAGCUAUGGAGUCUGAGGCCCACAGAAAGUAGCAGACAAAUCAGGCCUAACUAGGAAGCGGUAUAGUAACUAGAACCUUACAACUGAGAAAGUCACAUGGCUGCUAGAGGGACUUCAUGGAGACACAAUUCCCAGGGCCCAGUCCCUAGAACUAUGCCAGAGAGACCACCCCGAAUUCUCUACUACAGCUUUUCAAGACACAGAAUCACAGACAAACACCCUACUCACUGGUUCCAAGAGACAGCCCUCCCCGCAUUCACCCAGAAGAUGGCAAGCAGAACCUGGACAUUAGCUUUCACCUCUAAACAUGCAAAAAGACUAUUGACAGUCAGCCUGUAAAGCCUCCCUGUGAUUCCAGGCCCUUGGCCAGUGUGAACGCCAGAGCAAGCCAGGUCUCCUCCAGCUGGGCUUUUUGUCUGGUAGGGCACUUUGUGCUUCAGCUUGGGAGGGAAGGUGGCCUCCAUAUGACAAGGUGAAUGUAGCCGACAGAAGGAACCUACCACAUGGAUACUCAAGGCCCCUCCUGGCAAGAGUGCACACUGCUUUUAGCAAAAAGUCUGUUUUCUUAGCACUGAUGGAGGAGGUUCAGCACGGUGGAAGGGCUGAGAUCAAACUCCCAACCACCUUCUCAAGAGGGCAAGAGAUUCCUCUAAGCAAUACCAUGGGGCCAGUACGCUGAGCAACAAGUUAACCAACGAGUGAAGUAAGCAGCCCACCUCCGGCUGGACGCUCAGCAAGACCCAGGCAAUGUCUGCAGGAUAAAUACAGGAAAACCUGCCUUGGAGAAUUCACCCUCUCCCUGCCUUGUACUAGGCCCAAACUAACCUCAUUUACUACCACAGAGACUUGGGGGUUUUGAGACCAACAUCUUUUUCAUGGAGCACAUCUUGCCCUGGCUCCUGGCCAUCACCAUUUCAGUGAGGGUCACUACAGUACUGGCUGAGCACACUGAUCUGAUCCACCAUACACCUUUCAGUUGAGGUAAGUAUGCGCCUGCAGAGGCAGAAAAUGGCUCUGUCACCUCCCAAGAGCAGGUGAAUGAGUGUGCACUGAUUGGUUGAAGAACUCUGAUUGGCAGUGAUUUGGUCGGCUUCUGAAGCUGGGACGAGAUCGGGAGGAGAGAUGGGUCACAGCGGAAGGGUGAAGACUCAGGAGUCAUGGCCCUCUCAGGAGUCACCUUACGUCCAGAGUGCUGUAUCUCUUUUCCUUUAAGUCUGAACUGGGAGGUCAGAGAAGCUCCCUCUUCAAGGCCACUGGCCAACUCUAUGCACUGUAAUCCUAUUAAUAGCUUUGAGCUACAAGGUAAAAUCAGGUCUGACCCUCAUUUUCAUAGAAAGAUUACUGGGCUGUGCCCUGGACCUAAACUUCAUUCUGCCUACCCAGAAAGUCCAGAGGAAGCCUGCUUGAGAGAACUAUUCUGAAAACAGCGUGGGCAGCCUUCUGCCCUCUCCAACUCUGAGGAAGGUAGCUCAGAGAUUUUAAGAACCCUGAGCAGCAACUGGGUGGCCACAACAGAAACAGGAACUACCUGGGUGACGUCCACAGUGGGCACCUCGCCCAGAGCGUGAAGGGCAGUGCAGCAGCUGGACGAAGAGAGAAGAGGAGGAACGGAGCCCAGCAGAGCUGAGCAGAGCUGAGCCCAGCCAGAUCCAGCCAUGUGCUUCGUGUUGGCAACAAACCGGCUCUUUGGAGAGAGGAGGAGUCUGACAAAAAGGACAGCUGCAGCACAGCACAAGCAGAGAGGCAAUAUGCUUGAGAAAGCCCUGAGAUUGGGGUUAUCCCCAUAAGUUAAAACAAAAAACAAACCACCUUUGGGGUUUGCAGAACUACUUAGUCUAUUAACACCCCCUCCCCUCAUUGCGGGAUCAAUUAAACAGUCUGUCCACAUCUGGUUUCCAUCUAAAACCAAAACUUGUACUAUCAGCAUAUUAUAUAACAAA